CCUACGGGUGGCAGCAGUGAGGAAUAUUGGUCAAUGGACGAGAGUCUGAACCAGCCAAGCAGCGUGAAGGAUGACUGCUCUACGGGUUGUAAACCUCUUUUAUCUGGGAACAAAAUGUGCCACGAGUCGCCGUUUGUAUGUACCCUAUGAAUAAGGAUCGGCUAACUCCGUGCCAGCAGCCGCGGUAAUACGGAGGUUCCGAGCGUUAUCCGGAUUUAUUGGGUUUAAAGGGAGCGUAGGUGGGUUGUUAAGUCAGUGGUGAAAGGUUGCGGCUCAACCGUAAGAUUGCAGUUGAAACUGGCAGUCUGGAGUAGAGUAGAGGUGAGCGGAAUGCGUGGUGUAGCGGUGAAAUGCUUAGAUAUCGCGAAGAACUCCGAUUGCGAAGGCAGCGCACCGGACUGCAACUGACACUGAGGCUCGAAAGUGUGGGUAUCGAACAGGAUUAGAUACCCUGGUAGUC
rnacentral:rRNA from 1 species